UGGAUAGAUUUGGAGAACGUAAAGUCUGGCCAGCUUCAUAUCAAGGUGACACGUCUCAGGCUACUUUCAGACCCAACCCAACUGGAAGAGGUAAAGUCUCUGUUCCUUUACGCUGGCUACCGUGGAAAUACGUUGGAAUGUUUUGUUGGUGCAUCUAAUUUUUUUUUGGUUUUCCAGGUGCUGAAAGUAAAUGAACAAUCUCGGCCAAAAAGAGAAAAUGAGAUUGCUUCAGCCGUUUUAUACACCUAUAUUGAAAAAGGAAGGGGUCUGCCUGUUAUACAAGUGAAGAAGGACAAUCUGAAAGCGUUAGCUGUCGUGCAGGUUGGCGUUGAAGACAAUGUAAAGAAGAUUGGAAGCAGAAUAAAUAACGGAGAAGCAGAGUGGAAAAAGAGGUUCCAGUUCUUGAUAAGGAACCCACUUACUGAGGAACUGAAGCUUAAGGUGAGUACAAAUGGGCUUUUCUUACGGCUGCUGUUGUACCCAUGUAGGGUACUGUGUUGUGUUUCUUUGCUUUCUGACCCACUUAUGACCGGUAUUUUCACAGGUUCACAAUGAACACAAUAAGCCCAUCGGAAGUAUUACUGUGCGCCUAUCUCGCCUUCUGGCUGCUUCGGAAAUGACCUUGCAGGACUGGCUGCCCCUGGAAUCAACUGAACAGAAUAGUGAAAUCCGGGUGAAAUUACAAUUGAGGAUUUUGACCCCUGAUGUUGGAGCUCCAUCGCCCCAAGGAAAGACCAAGGCUCAAUAUAUCAAACCACGGACCAAGAAG